CUCUGGCAUGACGUGACACUUCCUACGGCUCCCAUGGGCUCUCAGAAGGCGGGAAAAAGCUGAACGAUGUAAUUCCAUCCCCAGGCUGAAACACAUUAGCUCGUUUGGCAAGUGCUCUAUCAGAGGGCCAUUAGACUGAGGCUCGUGCAUGAGGGGAUAGCAUGCUUUUACUUUCACUCUCUUUGUAAUAAAAAACGACUUCCCGGUCGGAAUAUUAUCGCUUUUUUACGAGAAAAAUGGCAUAAAAAUGUAUUUUAAACAGCGGUUGACAUGCUUCGAAGUACGGUAAUGGAAUAUUUAGAAUUUUUUGGUCACGAAAUGCGCCAUGCUCGUCACCCUUAUUUACCCUUUCGGAUAGUGUCUUGAACGCACGAACACAACGCCGCUAUUUGGAUAUAACAAUGGAUUAUUUGGGACCAAACCAACAUUUGUUAUUGAAGUAGAAGUCCUGGGAGUGCAUUCUGACGAAGAACAGCAAAGACCCCAAGUCUCCCGGCUCCUACGUCCUGAACCCCUACUGCUCCUGCUGCCCCCUAGCAUCCUCGUCUUUACUGAGACCUCCCCUGUAGACACUGGACUGCACACAGGUACUACUGCUCCUGCUGCCCCCUAGCAUCCUCGUCUUUACUGAGACCUCCCCUGUAGACACUGGACUGCACACAGGCACCUCCGGCUUCCAACACGACGUACAAGAUGUGAGCUCUCUCCAGGUCUACAGGCACAUUACUGAUCCCAGUAGCUCCUUACAUCUUGAAAUAUUGAAUGUGUUUCCCGAUAUACAUAAUAAUGAAGUGGUAAAGAAAAAAGCUCCCUUCU
rnacentral:lncRNA from 1 species